UGGAACGCAGCUCAGUGAGUAGAGCAACUGGCUUAUAUCCAGUGUGUCGGAGGUGCAAAUCCUUCCGUUCCAA
rnacentral:tRNA from 1 species